UACGUAGGGAGCAAGCGUUGUCCGGAAUCAUUGGGCGUAAAAGCGCGCGUAGGCGGCUCGAUCAGUCUGUUGUGAAAGUCAAAGGCUCAACCUUUGAAUGCCGAUGGAUACUGUCGAGCUAGAGUCCGGAAGAGGCGGGUGGAAUUCCUGGUGUAGCGGUGGAAUGCGCAGAUAUCAGGAGGAACACCAACGGCGAAGGCAGCCCGCUGGGACGGUACUGACGCUAAGGCGCGAAAGCGUGGGGAGCGAACGAGG
rnacentral:rRNA from 1 species